rnacentral:misc_RNA from 1 species
AAACCUUUGGGUUUGCGUAGAUGUUAUUAUACUUGUAUUAUUAUAUUUUUUCCAAAUAUGUUCAUAUGCCUAAAUUAUUUUAUUGAUUCAUAUAUAUGUGUGUUAUGUUUGGAACAAUUAUUAGAACUUGAGAAGUAUGUUAGACAAAUAAAAAGAUUGGCUUUCUCACAUAGGCAAUUGCUUUCAUAACUUUAGUAGUGGAU